rnacentral:rRNA from 1 species
ACAACGAAGAGUUUGAUCCUGGCUCAGGAUGAACGCUAGCGACAGGCUUAACACAUGCAAGUCGAGGGGCAGCACAGGUAGCAAUACCGGGUGGCGACCGGCGCACGGGUGAGUAACGCGUAUGCAACUUACCUAUCAGAGGGGGAUAACCCGGCGAAAGUCGGACUAAUACCGCAUGAAGCAGGGGCCCCGCAUGGGGAUAUUUGCUAAAGAUUCAUCGCUGAUAGAUAGGCAUGCGUUCCAUUAGGCAGUUGGCGGGGUAACGGCCCACCAAACCGACGAUGGAUAGGGGUUCUGAGAGGAAGGUCCCCCACAUUGGUACUGAGACACGGACCAAACUCCUACGGGAGGCAGCAGUGAGGAAUAUUGGUCAAUGGCCGAGAGGCUGAACCAGCCAAGUCGCGUGAGGGAUGAAGGUUCUAUGGAUCGUAAACCUCUUUUAUAAGGGAAUAAAGUGCGGGACGUGUCCCGUUUUGUAUGUACCUUAUGAAUAAGGAUCGGCUAACUCCGUGCCAGCAGCCGCGGUAAUACGGAGGAUCCGAGCGUUAUCCGGAUUUAUUGGGUUUAAAGGGUGCGUAGGCGGCCUUUUAAGUCAGCGGUGAAAGUCUGUGGCUCAACCAUAGAAUUGCCGUUGAAACUGGGGGGCUUGAGUAUGUUUGAGGCAGGCGGAAUGCGUGGUGUAGCGGUGAAAUGCAUAGAUAUCACGCAGAACCCCGAUUGCGAAGGCAGCCUGCCAAGCCAUGACUGACGCUGAUGCACGAAAGCGUGGGGAUCAAACAGGAUUAGAUACCCUGGUAGUCCACGCAGUAAACGAUGAUCACUAGCUGUUUGCGAUACACAGUAAGCGGCACAGCGAAAGCGUUAAGUGAUCCACCUGGGGAGUACGCCGGCAACGGUGAAACUCAAAGGAAUUGACGGGGGCCCGCACAAGCGGAGGAACAUGUGGUUUAAUUCGAUGAUACGCGAGGAACCUUACCCGGGUUUGAACGCAUUCGGACCGAGGUGGAAACACCUUUUCUAGCAAUAGCCGUUUGCGAGGUGCUGCAUGGUUGUCGUCAGCUCGUGCCGUGAGGUGUCGGCUUAAGUGCCAUAACGAGCGCAACCCUUGCCACUAGUUACUAACAGGUAAAGCUGAGGACUCUGGUGGGACUGCCAGCGUAAGCUGCGAGGAAGGCGGGGAUGACGUCAAAUCAGCACGGCCCUUACAUCCGGGGCGACACACGUGUUACAAUGGCGUGGACAAAGGGAGGCCACCUGGCGACAGGGAGCGAAUCCCCAAACCACGUCUCAGUUCGGAUCGGAGUCUGCAACCCGACUCCGUGAAGCUGGAUUCGCUAGUAAUCGCGCAUCAGCCAUGGCGCGGUGAAUACGUUCCCGGGCCUUGUACACACCGCCCGUCAAGCCAUGGGAGCCGGGGGUACCUGAAGUCCGUAACCGCGAGGAUCGGCCUAGGGUAAAACUGGUGACUGGGGCUAAGUCGUAACAAGGUAGCCGUACCGGAAGGUGCGGCUGGAACACCUCCUUU